UACAGAGGGUGCUAGCGUUGUUCGGAAUCAUUGGGCGUAAAGGGCGUGUAGGCGGUUUGUUAAGUCAUGUGUGAAAUCCCUCGGCUCAACCGGGGAAGGACGCAUGAAACUGGCAAGCUAGAGUACCAAAGAGGGGGGUGGAAUUCCCGGUGUAGCGGUGAAAUGCGUAGAUAUCGGAAGGAACACCUGUGGCGAAAGCGGCUCACUGGACCACAACUGACGCUGAGGCACGAAAGCUAGGGGAGCAAACAGG
rnacentral:rRNA from 1 species